GGGCUUUCACUUGAAAUCAAACAGUUUUUAAAGGAACGAUACAGUACUUCCAACAACUGAAUAAUAAUCUGACAAAUUUGGUCCCAAAACUUCUAACCAUCAUGCAACUUAAAUAUAAGUUCAAUGCAUUUAAUCCUUGAGUUCUUUUACCAAGUUGGCAACUAGAAACUCUUUCCAAGCGCAUAGAUACUUCUUUACCCUUUGAAGUUUGGAAAGUUCUUUGCUACAACUAGAGCACUACACGAAAAGAAUGAAUGACUGCCAUUUAAUGAGUGUGAAGCAUUUAGGGGUACAUGUCAUUCAUUCAUUGGCCAAGUAUAAGACAUUCAUGGUACAUGGCAGUCAUUCAUUCAUGCGGUGCAGCCUUUGGGUGUAGCCAAGUGAGCUGAUGGUCAAAAUAAACCUCUAAAAAAAUAUAUGAAAAGAACUAACGUUAACAGAUUUUUAUUAAUAGGAAAUGCCUUCGGAUCAUUACAAUGACACACCUACUAAGAAUCGCCCCUUUUCAAUAUUCAGAAACUAAGCAUAUCGAAAAGAAAAAUAAUAUGUAAAUAAUGCAUAAUUUUUUUUUUCUAACAGUAAGUAAAAUGCAUGAUCAUUCAAUACUAAAAGCAACA
rnacentral:misc_RNA from 1 species